GCUGUCUCCAACGGUGGGGAAGAUCCGAUUUCAGAAAUGGAAGCUAUUUUGCCCCAUGCUCCCUCCUGAGCUGAUCAAUGGCAAUUGUUCACAACAAUAGCACAUGGCCAGUCCACCCCAGGUCCUUUCUCCUGACCAGAGAAGCGUAAAGCUGGAAGGUGCAGGAAAACAUCCAGUUGCUGAGCUGACUUCACUGAAGAAGCCCGGAGAGCUGAGCGCAUUUUCAGUCUCCCAAAUACCAGUCGAACUCACUGCAUGAGAAUGCCGUGGAUCGUGUCUUAACCCCCUUCUGCUCAGUCUCACCAGUGAAAAAUGGAAGAUGCAUACUGGCAUAGAAAGAAGAUCACAAGCUUCGGAGCCAGAGAGACUUAGGUUCAAAUUCCAGCUCAACCCCAUUCCUCUCUGAGUGAUGGUAGAUAACUAUUCAAGAUUCUGCAAAAGGGCCCAUGAAGCCCGAGGUGGACUUCGUUGGCCUUGCCUUCAUCAAAGAGAGGCUCGAGGAGUGCACAGCUGCCAGCUCUUGAGGACAGGCUGCUGUGAGCAGCAACACAGCUGAGCUCCCUUGGCUUCAUGGUGGGAGAUUCAUAAGCUGCCUGGAGAGUCGUGUGUUGGUGUUCUGGCCAGUAGUCCUCGCUGAGCUGCCGGCCAGCUCUGCAUCAGCUGCCAGACCUGUGAGUGAGGAAGCUUCAUGAAGACCCCGGCCUCGGUCCCCAUCCGACAGCAACCUCACCAGACACGCUGAACGAGAACCGCCUCGCUGACCCCAGUCAAGCCCUGGAGAUGAGAGAGAUUUUCCUCCUACUCUUCCUCCUGAUGAAGAUUGCUGCUGUUUUAUGCUGCUAAGUUUGGGCUGGCUUAGCACACAGCAGUAGAUAGCUUAAACACUGAUCAAUGGCAUAUUUCUAAAAAUUGUCAAAGGCCUUACACUAAUUUCCUCUUAAUAUUCUUUUUCUCUCUCCUUUACCCUUCCUAUUUCUGUAAGAAAGCGUCCUGAUGGUAAAGCGGGGCAGUAGUGCAGAAGGUGAUUUUUGACCAAGCUCUGCCCCCGAGGGCAAUGAUCAUUAGUGGGCGUCGCCAGGUUGUAGGACUGCGUCCAUCUCUUGUCUCUCAGAAACUCUCCAUGUGCGCAGGGACAGGGUAGGACACCCGUCCAUACGUCUGGGGUCUUUGUUUCUCGAGCUGUGACACGUACUUCGGCUCAGUGUCUCUCCCUGACUCUUACUGGACUUGGGGCCGGGUUUUGGGGUAUCACUUGGCAGUGUGCAAACACCACGUCUCUGAGGGACGUCUGUGUGAGGCAGAGGAAAGCUCUAGAAGGUGGGGCAGGAGGAAAAGUGAGAAAUCACGCAGGAGUGAGGAAUGUUAACUCCCAUUGUACCUGUUGUCACAUUAUUCUAAAACAUAAUGUAUGUUUUGCCCUGUGAAUAAGACUCAAAGACUUUCAGAAUCACCUUUCUUACCUUAAAGAGUGAGUUUUCUGUAUUCAAUGUGUAAUUAUAUGAAAGUCGUGGCUAUUUGACAUCUGGGAUGGACUCAGCAGUACCUCACUCAGACAUCGCCGCACCUUCUGAAGAAAGAAACUUGUUGGCCUCUUUAGAGUCUUGAGAAUGAGAGGAAGAAUUGAGCGUUAGUGGCGUCCUCUAGGAAAAUGGAGAAGAGGAAAGAGGAGAGCCACUGCCACGGGGCUACCCUCCCUGAUGAGGAUUCUGCCCCAGUCCCUUGCGCCAGCGAACAGGCAGGACACAGCAGGACCUGGGGGCUGCCUGCCUGGCCGGCCCCCUGCCAGCCGCGGAGGCACUACUGGCAGCAGGGGCUCCGGUCAGCUCUAGGAAAGGAGGAAAGGAGGCAGGACGGUGCCCAGUCGGCUUUCCCCCACGUUCUCUGUUUCUCCCAGGCUUAGAGAAGUGCUGUGCUGCUGCCAUGGCAAGACAAGCCGACAGCAGAGUUUGGCAUUUAUUGAGCACAUACUGAGUGCGAGGCUCCUGGGGACCAGGAUGAAUAAAGCACACUGUCCCCCCGACCCUGAGACAGGCUCCUGCAAGUGGUCUCUGUGUAACGUGGGAGGGAGCGAGUGCAGGGCUGUCCGAGACUUGGGGAUGAGAGGGGCUGCUACUGAUGGAGCCAAAUGCUGGCUGUUCAAAACCCUGCGCAGCCGUUCUUCCUCAUUUCACUGCUUGCUGUUAUACUCCUGUCUGGUCGCUGACCGCUUUUUAGGGUGUUCUGCACCACUUCCCAGGAGUGUCACAGAAGGGACUCGUCCAUGUAACUAAAUAAAGAAUCGUGUUAACUGGCAUCUACUGAGGGCUUUCUGGGUGAGACACCGUAUGAAAACGUCUAUCAAUAUUUUCUUGUUUAAUCCUCCUAACAACCUUACUAAGAAGGUUCUCUUGUCCUUGUUUUACAGAUGUGCCAAAUGAGGCACGGAGGGUUUCACUCACGUGCUUAAGUCUCACUGCUGGCACGUGGCGGAGCCAGGAUUCGGACUCAGUUCCAGAGCCCACAUUCUAUAUAUGUCUGCUUCCAAGUGAACACUGCUGUCCCUCCUAAUCAUGAGAUUUUAUGCUCAAGUAAUAAACUCUCCGUUGGACCAAUUCUUUCUGAGCAGGAAUGCUGUGUGCCUGAGCCCUGCACGUACAGAUCAGACCCCAGCCUCUCCCAUGCCUCCCUGGGAGUCCCAGGCUGGUGGCCCUCCGGGGUGGCUCCCGAGAAGGAAGCCGGGUGUGGCCUUAUGCCCGUGCGACGGAGCCCUCACCUUCUUAGGACCUGGAACAAGGGGUCACAUUGCGCCCACCCUGAAACUCGUCAAAUUUUGGAUCAAUAUCCUUUUCUUUUUGGCGGAUGUCGGGAUUUGAUUUGUCCUUGGUACCUGUUAGGGUCGCAGUCACACCAGAGCCCACUCCUUCUGUGAGAAUCCCCGUUGGCUUGGUCCUAACCGGCUGCUGUACUUCAGAAAAAAAUUUUACAUUUUUACACCAAAAUAUGUAAGUUGGAAAGCAAGGAUUUUCCAAAUACUCUUCCUGGACGUUUUCAGUUCACAUACCCUAAGCCACGAAAAAGAAAAAGAAGUUACUGCCUGCCUGUGGUAGGUCCCUUCAGAAGCAGCCGGUGUGAUCAGUUUCUGGGUGUCCUUUGGAGAUGGUCAAUGUACGUAGCAGCAAGUGAGUGAGG
rnacentral:lncRNA from 1 species